UACGUAGGGUGCGAGCGUUGUCCGGAAUUACUGGGCGUAAAGAGCUCGUAGGCGGUUUGUCGCGUUGUCCGUGAAAACUCACAACUCAACUGUGGGCGUGCGGGCGAUACGGGCAGACUGGAGUACUGCAGGGGAGACUGGAAUUCCUGGUGUAGCGGUGGAAUGCGCAGAUAUCAGGAGGAACACCGGUGGCGAAGGCGGGUCUCUGGGCAGUAACUGACGCUGAGGAGCGAAAGCGUGGGGAGCGAACAGG
rnacentral:rRNA from 1 species